AGAUUUCAGUUGAGAAGCAAUGCUGUUUCACCUCCCUGAGAGAAUUGCCUUGUUUGUGAAAUACUACAGAAAAACCUGUAUUUUCUCCAGAAAAUGAAAGGUCUUGGCCUGAGUAAAUCAAGGCAGAAAACUCACCCCCGUGAAAGCUGCAGCUCUGAGAGUGUGUGGGCAGGGCUUCAACAGAAUACCUGUGGCUGCACUUACAAAAGGCAGCCAGAAGGACCCGUCCAUUCUGGAAAGUACCUUUAGUCUGAAAGCAUUUAUUGCAGAAAAAAUAUGAGGCUUGCUGGUAGUAUUCCCAGGUGACAAAUGUGCACCCAACACCCUACAGAAAAGAAGAACCAUAAAAUAAUUAAUUAUUCCAUUGUAACUCCUGCCUGGAAAACAUCUGAAAGAAGUCACUAGAUUCAGCCCACAUUCAAGAUGAGAAAUACCAGAAGGCAGAGAACACUGAGGCUGUUUUAGAGGCUGUCAACCCCAGGGAGACAGACAGCAAAUAAGAUGCUUGGAUGUUUUCACACCACUCUGACACAUGGAUGGAAGGUUAGAAGACAACAAAGGAAUGGGCUGGGAAGGACUCCAAAAGCAGAAUCAGAGAUUAUAUCAUUCCUUGGAAAUGGAGAAAAGGAUCAAAAAAGCUGAAUAAAAGGCAAACAUGGAGGAACAGAGUUUGGAGCAAUACCCUGACUUACAUUCAGUACUGUUAAUGGCUCCAGCAUCUUGAAACAAACCAAUUUUGGAUUUUCAGCCGCUGUCCAAGAUGACGUGAACUCCAGGCUAUUGACUUUCCUCUACCUUCAAUGGAAAUUGUCAUGGAGAAUUAAGUUUUUGACAAAUCUACAGCCUAUGUGCAGGGCUUCUUCCUGGGUGUAACAAUAAGGAAUUUGGAAACUGUCUCUAGUUUUGGCCUGGAGUCACACUGCAGCUUGAGACCCUGUCAUUUCCAUCAAGCUUGAAAAUAUACAUCUUAAUAAACUGCAAUACUUCUUAAACCU
rnacentral:lncRNA from 1 species